rnacentral:rRNA from 1 species
UACGUAGGGGUCGAGCGUUGUCCGGACUUACUGGGCGUAAAGCGUGGGUAGGUGGAUCGUGAUGUGCCGUGUGAAAGCGCCGCGCUUCUCGCGGCGAGGGCGCGGUAGACACACGAUCUAGAGGCACGGAGAGGGGCGUAGAAUUCCCGGUGUAGUGGUGAAAUGCGUAGAUAUCGGGAGGAAUACCAGUGGCGAAGGCGGCGCCCUGGCCGUGACCUGACACUGAGCCACGACGGCGUGGGGAGCAAACGGG